rnacentral:rRNA from 1 species
GACGAACGCUGGCGGCGUGCUUAACACAUGCAAGUCGAGCGAUGAAAGCCUUAUGAACUAUUCGUAGUGAUUGAGGCCGGAUUAGCGGCGGACGGGUGAGUAACGCGUGGGCAACCUGCCUUAAACAACGGGAUAGCCUCGGGAAACCGGGAUUAAUACCGUAUGAGACCCCGCCUUCACAUGAAGAAGAGGUUAAAGAUUUAUCGGUUUAAGAUGGGCUCGCGUCUGAUUAGCUAGUUGGUGAGAUAAAAGCCCACCAAGGCAACGAUCAGUAACCGGCUUGAGAGAGUGAACGGUCACAUUGGAACUGAGACACGGUCCAAACUCCUACGGGAGGCAGCAGUGGGGAAUAUUGCACAAUGGGGGAAACCCUGAUGCAGCGACGCCGCGUGAGCGAUGAAGGAAUUCGUUUCGUAAAGCUCUGUCCAAGGGGAAGAUAAUGACAGUACCCUUGGAGGAAGCCCCGGCUAAAUACGUGCCAGCCGCCGCCGUAAAAC